GAUGAACGCUGGCGGCGUGCCUAAUACAUGCAAGUCGAGCGAACGGACGAGAAGCUUGCUUCUCUGAUGUUAGCGGCGGACGGGUGAGUAACACGUGGAUAACCUACCUAUAAGACUGGGAUAACUUCGGGAAACCGGAGCUAAUACCGGAUAAUAUUUUGAACCGCAUGGUUCAAAAGUGAAAGACGGUCUUGCUGUCACUUCUAGAUGGAUCCGCGCUGCAUUAGCUAGUUGGUAAGGUAACGGCUUACCAAGGCAACGAGGCAUAGCCGACCUGAGGGGGUGAUCGGCCACACUGGAACGGAGACACGGUCCAGACUCCUACGGGAGGCAGCAGUAGGGAAUCUUCCGCAAUGGGCGAAAACCUGACGGAGCAACGCCGCGUGAGUGAUGAAGGUCUUCGGAUCGUAAAACUCUGUUAUUAGGGAAGAACAUAUGUGUAAGGAACUGUGCACAUCUUGACGGUACCUAAUCAGAAAGCCACGGCUAACUACGUG
rnacentral:rRNA from 1 species